rnacentral:rRNA from 1 species
GAUGAACGCUGGCGGCGUGCCUCAAACAUGCAAGUCGAGCGAGGCUAUGAAUUACCGCAAGGUAAGGCAUAGCCUAGCGGCGAACGGGUGAGUAACACGUGGGUAACCUACCUGGAAGACAGGGAUAACGAUUCGAAAGGGUCGCUAAUACCUGAUAAUAUCCGUCUGCCGGAUGGCGGAGGGAAGAAAGGGGAAACCCGCUUUCAGAUGGGCCCGCGUCCCAUCAGCUAGUUGGUAAGGUAAAGGCUUACCAAGGCGACGACGGGUAGCCGGUCUGAGAGGAUGUACGGCCACACUGGGACUGAGAUACGGCCCAGACUCCUACGGGAGGCAGCAGUUGGGAAUCUUAGGCAAUGGACGAAAGUCUGACCUAGCGACGCCGCGUGAGGGAAGAAGGCCUUCGGGUUGUAAACCUCUGUCAUGGGGAAGAAGGAAGUGACGGUACCCCAAGAGGAAGCCCUGCUAACUACGUG